AUACGGAGGGUGCAAGCGUUAUCCGGAAUCAUAGGGUUUAAAGGGUCCGUAGGCGGACUAAUAAGUCAGGGGUGAAAUCCCACAGCUUAACUGUGGAACUGCCUUUGAUACUGUUAGUCUUGAGUUAUAUGGAAGUAGAUAGAAUGUGUAGUGUAGCGGUGAAAUGCUUAGAGAUUACACAGAAUACCGAUUGCGAAGGCAGUCUACUACAUAUAUACUGACGCUAAUGGACGAAAGCGUGGGGAGCGAACAGGAUUAGAAACCCUAGUAGUCC
rnacentral:rRNA from 1 species